UACGUAGGUGGCAAGCGUUGUUCGGAAUUAUUGGGCGUAAAGGGCGCGUAGGCGGCAUGUUAAGUCGGCUGUGAAAGCCUGGGGCUCAACCCCAGAGGGUCGGCCGAUACUGGCAAGCUAGAGUACGGAAGAGGUAGCUGGAAUUCCCGGUGUAGUGGUGAAAUGCGUAGAUAUCGGGAGGAACACCAGUGGCGAAGGCGACUUCCUGGCCUGUUCUUGACGCUGAGGCGCGAAAGCUAGGGGAGCAAACGGG
rnacentral:rRNA from 1 species